rnacentral:rRNA from 1 species
CGGGUGAGUAAUAUAUCGGAACGUGCCCAGUAAUGGGGGAUAGCCCGGCGAAAGCCGGAUUAAUACCGCAUACGACCUACGGGUGAAAGCAGGGGAUCGCAAGACCUUGCGUUAUUGGAGCGGCCGAUAUCAGAUUAGCUUGUUGGUGGGGUAAAAGCCCACCAAGGCGACGAUCUGUAGCUGAUCUGAGAGGACGACCAGCCACACUGGGACUGAGACACGGCCCAG